UACGUAGGGGGCUAGCGUUGUCCGGAAUCAUUGGGCGUAAAGAGCGCGUAGGCGGCCCGGUAAGUCCGCUGUAAAAGUCACAGGCUCAACCUGUGAAUGUCAGUGGAUACUGCCGGGCUAGAGUCCGGAAGAGGCGAGUGGAAUUCCUGGUGUAGCGGUGGAAUGCGCAGAUAUCAGGAGGAACACCAACGGCGAAGGCAGCUCGCUGGGACGGUACUGACGCUGAGACGCGAAAGCGUGGGGAGCAAACAGG
rnacentral:rRNA from 1 species